AUGCUGUGGCUUUUCCCAUGCUGUGUCUUGUCCCUGAAGGGCAGCAGUGGGUGUUGCUGCAGGUGUAGCAAAGCUGUUCCUUGGCAAUCUGUGCCAUGCUGUCCCAUCCCACAAUGUUCCAUCCCAUUCCAAGCUGUGCCACACUGUGCCAUCCCCUGCCAUAAGGAGUUGUGUUGUUGUGCCUUCCUGUGUAAUAAGAGGCUGUGCUAUGCUGUUUUCCUCCACUGUGCCAUACCAUGCCAUGCCAUGCCAUUCCAUCCCAUCCUUUUUGAUACCAUACAGUGCCAUAAAAAUGCUAUGAUGAACUGUGCUGUGCCAUGCCGCACCAUCCCAUGCUUUCCCAUCCCAUCUCAUCCCAUGUUGUUCCAUUCCACCCCAUGUGGUGCCAUAUUACAAACCAUGCCAUAUCAUAGUGUGCUAUCCCAUGCCGUGAGGAGUUGUGGCAUUCUGUGCCAUAUUGGGCCUUCCAGGGCUGUUCCAUGCCUUGCUGUGCUGUGCUGUGCCAUCCAUGCUGCGAUUAACCAUGCCAUGCUGUGCUGUUUUCCUGUGCUGUGCUAUGCUGUGCUGUGCACUGAUGAAGCACACUGUGCCAUGCCAUGCCAUGCUGUAACAAACCACGCUGUGCCAUGUCAAGCUGUGCUCUGUGCUACCAUGACAUUCAGUGCCGUGCCAUGCCCCCCAGGCACAAACAGCCCACUGCAGGCUGUGCUCCCUAGGGUGCUGCCCUCUUUAUGGGGUGCCCUCCUUCUCUCUCCCUGGGGACAAGCUGGGGUGCCCCUGGCGAGCUCACAUUGCUGCCUGCAGCCAGCAGGACCCCCCGGUGCCCCCAUACACUGCAUUGCUGUGGCACUCACGCCAUCCCCCACUGCCGACUCUGGGAACAGAUGGCAGGAGGAGGCUCUGGGACACCAUCAGCUGUUGUUAUCGCUAGCUGAUGACACGGAGUGUAAAUUCUGUUGGCACUACUCCCUUCGUCUGUUCUGCCUCUACAUCCCACCAGUUUUAAUUACUGUAAUUGAGUUAUAA
rnacentral:lncRNA from 1 species